GCUGAUUGUGUAUGGUGCGUCUGUCCCUGUGCUUGAUGCGGUCGACAUCUGCUGAGGAAUGGGUGUGUAGCAUGCAUUGAGUUAUCUCCUUGGAUUGGUUGUAGACCGUAAGGCAGGACAGACCCCAACAUAUUUAUUCCAGUGUUUAGCGUGACGAGACCACGCCCUCAGAGGAAGUCCGAAAGUGACGAAACGUCAGGGCCGUGGUCUCAUUGCUUUACCCGGAAGUGUAGUUUUAAACAGUAUCACGCUAUGGAGUGUAGUGUAUUCCGUUAUUGUUUACAUGAGCCCGGGUGGAUCCCAUCUCUAUAUACAGCGUGAGGAGGUUCUAAUAAGGAGAGAAGGAAAGUUGCUGGUUUUGAAGGCAAAUUAGACUUAUCUCUGUGUACUGAAAACUGCUGGGAGGAAAGUACUCCAAACAAUGAUUUGGACACAGAUACUUACAGUCAGCAAGCAAGCCAAGCAUCAGGUGAUCAAGCGGGCCAAGAGCCGGAGAGUCAAUUGUCGACUCCAUCACGAUCUACAUCUGCCACACCUGUGGGAGACGAGGAGUCCACGCCACCAGUUUGUGCUCGUGUACCUGCUAGAGCAACAAGGAGGGCUCCAGAACCUGAUUUCAAUUGUAUGUUAGACAUCAUGGCCUCUAUGUCUGAAAGAAUGACCAGCAACAGGUCGCACGUUUAGGUUUCUGCGAGAUGUCUGGAGGGGCUGAUGGAGAAGGUACCAUCAGAACUCCAGGCAGACAUGUUGGCAGGUACCAUACGUUACAUCGCAACUUUCAUUCCACCAACCACAACAUAUAAAUCCUCUGAACCUCCACCACCCUAUGGUCCCUAUGCAACUCCCCCCGCCCCAUCUGCCAGCACCACCCCUUCCUCGGUUGUCAUCACCACAUAUUGCCACCCACCUUCCUCGGCCAACACCACCACCUUCUACUUGCCUUCCUCUGCCAACACCAACACCUUUUAAUUACCCUCCUCUGCCAACACCACCACCUUCUAAUUACCUUCCUCUGCCAACA